GCCGGGCACGGUGGCUUGUGCCUGUAAUCCAAGCGCCGGGGAGGCUGAGGCUGGUGGACGGCUUGAGCCUGGGGGUUCUGGGCUGCAGCGAGCUGUGCCGAGCGGGCGUCCGCGCUAAGGCCGGCAUCGAUAUGGUGGUCCUGGGGGAGCCGGGGGUCACCAGGUCGCCUAAGGAGGGGUGAACCGGCCCAGGUCGGAGACGGAGCAGGUCAAAGCUCCCGUGCCGGUCAGUAGCGGGAUGGCGCCUGUGAACAGUCCCUGUAGCACAGCCUGGGCGAGAGAGCGGGACCCAGUCUCUU
rnacentral:SRP_RNA from 1 species